rnacentral:lncRNA from 1 species
GGAUUCAGGAGCUGAGCCUGGGAGACCAAGAUGCCCCAUCCAACUUCUACCAGGCAUCCGUUCAUCAGAGGCUUGGGAUCUCUCUCACCAGACCUGGGAACAGUGAACUGGAAGAGAGACCAGCUUCUCCAAAGUCCCUGAACCUCCCUGCCUUGGAAUCAACGUCAAGAGACGGUGGUUCCCCCCUCACUGUGGAAAGUGACAUGGACCUCACGGCCAAUCUGCUGCCCUCUGGUGGGAUGCACUCCCAUCAGCUCACCUUUCGGACCCCAGUUACUGAGAGCAUUCUUGGCCCACAUUUGCCCAAUCCCUCACUUCCUGGGAGCCCUACUUCACAGGCCCAGGAUAAGGAAGAGUGACAAUCACAGUUUCUCCUUGCUCGACUCUGGCCUGGCCUUGACCACUGGUGGCCUUACCGUGAAUGCUGGCAGCCAGGAACACCCUGCUCUGCGUGUGGCCUUCCUAACUAUGAGGAAUGGCAGGAAGCUAGGCAUGGCAUUCCCUGGUUCCAACCUCUUCUACUACUACUCCCUGGGCCGUAACUUCUUUGUCACUGCUCAGCUCAGCAGCCACUGGUUCCGAGUUCGAGACCGUGUUACUGGUGAGCAGAUGCUGAUGAAGAAGGUGCCUGUGGUCUCCGAUUGGCAGAAGAUGCUUCAUCACUUCCUCUUCCUUCCACCGGGGCCGGGACUGCUGGUACCCUACGCAGUCCUCUAUGACCGCCAGGGCUCCCUGCUCUACCUUAUGGAGGACCCUGGAGUUCUAACUGUGGGGUGGCCACCAGCAGGUCAUCGGCUGGACAGACUGAAGUGCCUCCUGGAGAUUCUCAGGUUCCUACAGUUCUGCCAGCAGCACGGCUUGCAGCUUGAGGAAGUGGACUCAGGCCUGCUUUACACCCACCAGGGAAUCUGUUUUGACCCCAGUGGACUUGGCAGCAAUGAAGGACCUUAUGUUUUUAGAAAGACUUUGAGAAAUGCACUCCGGCUGGCGUGGAACACCCCACAGGACACCCCUGCAGCGGAAGCCCUGUUGGAACAGAUGUGGAGGUGGUUGGAGGAAGACAUCAGGGGCGAUGAAGAGGACCUGGAGGAGGCCAGGACUUCUUCUCUUGACCACCCUGGCAUCCCAUGAACGGAGGCCCCUGACACACCUCAGGGAACAGCGGGACACAGCACUUUAUAGCAGCAAAGCACUCUGACCUCGUAAAGUCAGAGUUGUCUCUCCAGAUUGUUUUUCACUGCCCAUUUCAUGGAUGGGAGACAGCUUACUCUCAGGUCACCCCGGCUGGCCUGGGGCUACUCCAACGUGAAACAUAAGCAUCCUGAUUCCAGGCAUACCCAGGGACCAGCUCCUGUUUUCUUCCUGAUCUGCCUUAUGGGGGGAGAACGCUGGGUCACUCUCAGGACUUUGCCCAGGGACAUGCUGGUCACAUCUUUACUCUCAAGGAACCCCAGUGCUCACAUGCUGAGCACCCCAGCUCAGACUUCCUCACCUCAGGGUUAAGGUCCUGGGUUCUCCACCCCAGUGGCUCCCUGCUCCAAGAACUUGGAGGAGAGGGCUACUUGCCCUACCCCAAGAUACACAGGUAGGCUGGGAUCUCCUCAGCCCCUCACAGAAGUGCCCGUGGUAGGCAGGCCACCAGGGUUUUCCGGAAGAGAAGGGAACAUAGCUGGGGGCCACCAUGGUGCUGUUUUUAUUUGGAAAAUAAAUUCCCAUGGAAAACACUGCCCCUCUUCUUU